CCUACGGGGGGCAGCAGUGAGGGAUAUUGGUCAAUGGGCGAAAGCCUGAACCAGCGACGCCGCGUGAGGGAAGACGGUCUUCGGAUUGUAAACCUCUGUCUUUUGGGAAGAUAAUGACGGUACCCGAAGAGGAAGCUCCGGCAAACUACGUGCCAGCAGCCGCGGUAAUACGUAGGGAGCAAGCGUUGUCCGGAUUUACUGGGUGAAAAGGGUGCGUAGGCGGGUUGGAAAGUAGAAGGUAAAAUCCAUGGGCUAAACCGUGGACUGCGUUUGAAACUGCCGUUCUUGAGUGAAGUAGAGGUAGGCGGAAUUCCUGGUGUAGCGGUGAAAUGCGUAGAGAUCAGGAGGAACACCAGUGGCGAAGGCGGCCUACUGGGCAUUAACUGACGCUGAGGCACGAAAGCGAGGGUAGCGAACGGGAUUAGAUACCCCGGUAGUC
rnacentral:rRNA from 1 species